rnacentral:rRNA from 1 species
CAGUGGUGAAUUUUCCGCAAUGGGCGCAAGCCUGACGGAGCAACGCCGCGUGGGUGACGAAGGAUUUCGGUCUGUAAAGCCCUUUCGGUCGGGACGAGUCGCAGACGGUACCGACAGAAGAAGCMUCGGCUAACUACGUGCCAGCAGCCGCGGUAAGACGUAGGAUGCGAGCGUUGUCCGGAAUUAUUGGGCGUAAAGCGUACGUAGGCGGUCAUCUAAGUCUGGGGUUAAAGACCAAGGCUCAACCUUGGGAGUGCCCUGGAUACUGGGUGACUGGAGGACGGCAGAGGAAAGUGGAAUUCCCAGUGUAGCGGUGAAAUGCGUAGAUAUUGGGAGGAACACCAGUGGCGAAAGCGACUUUCUGGGCCGUUCCUGACGCUGAGGUACGAAAGCCAGGGGAGCAAACGGGAUUAGAUACCCCGGUAGUCCUGGCCGUAAACGAUGGAUACUAGGUGUCAUCGGUAUCAACCCCGGUGGUGCCGUAGCUAACGCGUUAAUUAUCCCGCCUGGGGAGUACGGUCGCAAGGCUGAAACUC